rnacentral:lncRNA from 1 species
AGAUAGUGAAAUGAACUAGUAACAUUAAGAGAUGACAUUUACCCAGCUACCAAGGCUUCAUAGCACCUCAAGUUGAAGGGGGACAUAGAGCAUUAGUGACAUGUCAGCAACAUGAAAAUUAUUCCUACCUACUCUUGUUAUUUCAAACUUAAAAAUAUUUACUUCAGUAACCUCAUUGGGGGAGAUUUAAAUACUCUAGCCCUCAGUUGUGGCUUCACAAAGUGUCAAUUAAUGUUUACUGGUGGCUGAUAUUAAGGUGGCUAAAAUGGUCGCCAUCACAGUUGUUUGCCUUGCUUUUCUCCCAGAGGCUGCUACACUCUCCCCUUUCCCAACAAGGACAGCUACUAGCAUAUGUAGCCACUUUGAAUCCACAACCUUGUGGUUAUAUCACAGUUAUGGCCUGCCAUCCUAAAAUAAACUAAAGUAACUGCAAAAGCUCUCUGGCUCGGACAGAAGCUCAGCUCUGUCCUUUCUAAUGGCUUUGCAACAGAGAAAGAAAAUAACUUUGGCAGUGCAGAACUGCUGCUUGAAACCUAUGUAUUCUUCUCCCCAUGGAAGAAAUAUAUGCAGAACCAAAAUUUAGGAAAGUUAAGGUGCAUCUUGGCACUUUUGCCAAGAGAUUACUGCAUAGUCAGAGCAGACGGAUUAGAAGGCAAUGAGGGAUGUAGUCAGGCAAAGAGCAAAAUGUGAUGGAGGAUUACAAAAAAAGCAAGAAUGGCAGUUUGAGUUCCAGGUGAGCAAGUGGAAAGUGAACAAUCCUGUUUUAGGUACAUGAUAUUGUAGAAAGACCUGAACAAGAAGGUGACCACAUAGACUGUAGCAAGCAGCUUGACCUUCCUGAUAAGGCAGCUGGAGAGAAGCAGACUUUAUCAUUCAUUAGAGGAGGAUAAUGACAUUAGGAUCUCCAGAGAGCUUUUAAGAAGGCAUCAUUGUAACAUUGGCCAUAUCUGAAUGACUUCAAGCCUCCUCACCUUGUGGGCACCCCAGCAGGCCACACUAUGUCCAAACCUGCACAAGAUCAUAAUCCAAACUCUGCAAGCCACUUCCAUCCGGACACCCAACUUCUGCAGUUAUGCAUUAAGACCUCAUGGAAAAGCAAGGAGACGUACAAACCACAGCCAACGGCUGGCUCUGCAUCUGAAAGAUAUGAAACAUUCCCAUCUCCAGCUUAGGACCUACCAGUACCUGUUCCCCACAAUUAGUUUGGGGGGGGGUUGUUUCAUUUUAUAAUGUGAUUAUUUUCUUAAUCUGGUGAUUCUUGAGAGUGGUCUUAACUCUUGUUUUUUCACCUUCUUCUCCUUAGGUUGCCUCUGCCACCUGGUUAUAUCCUUUUCAGUGUUGAAGGAGACACUUGCUCAUGCUGGAUUAGGUUAAUACCAGGGGAAAGAAGGCACACACAAACCACAAGUCUGGGAGGUGUCAGGGCAUCUCUGUCCUGAAUUCAGGGACAUCAGCAAAGAUCCAGAGGGCGGAGAAGCGAAAGGCCAAUACGAUCUGGGGAGACCUUGAGAUUGUGCUGCCCCUUAUACCAGAUUCUUAGAGACUUAAGAUCAUAACACAGUAAGAACAUCCUCAGUGAUUCACGUCGAACAUCCAUCUAGGCCAACAUCCCAUCCAUGACAGUAGCCAGUGAAAAAGAACAUAAUAACAAGGUAUUAACUGAUAUUGCAUCAAAAUGAUCCCUUAGAUCCUAGUGACUGGUAGGCCAGGGACCCCCUGAAUCAGAAUGGAUGUUUUUGAACAGAAGAGCCUUGAAUGGAUUUUUCUUGCAUGUGUUUUUUGAUUGCUUUCUCAGGACAUAGCACCUCUCCUUCCCCAUGCUUUAGGAUUUAUCUUUAGCUCAGCAAAUAUGAAAAGGUUGAGAAGCAGGGACAGUGGAGGUGGGACAUGGGCAAAGGAAUGAUGGACAUGUGUAUCAUGUAGAGCAUACCCUUCUCCUCAAGGAGAAUCUCAUCUAUAUACAGUCAAGCAUGUUCUUUGUGUAUAUGUGUGUUACAGAAGGGAGCUGGGAAAUGUGCUUUCUAUGGAGCAGACAAAGCGGGACAAGGUGGCAAUCAGCAUAUAUGGUGAGUUGAAACGCCUUCCUGCAGCCAAAGAGAAGUGAAAAUAUAUGCCUGAAGGGGAGGGAAUGAGAAGGCAUUUGAAAGGACAGAGGAAAAGAAAUCAGGAUUCUUCAGGGCCCGGCAAAGAUAUUCCUGGAUAAAAUAUCUCAGCUGAAAGAUGCUGGGAAAGAAUGACCUCAUCAUUAUAUUUUUAGAUCAUAUCAUUCACACAGACCUUCCCUCCUGGAAUCACAGUGACUGAAGCAGAGCCAAAUGCUAAAGUCAGUGAGACAAAGGCUUUCCAGAGCACAAAGUCAUCCCUGAGCCAUUCAUCUUGAAGUGCUCCUCUCUGUCUCUGUAUGCAGAAUGAUGUGCGUGUCAGGCCAUGGUGAUCACAGACACACUCUCUGUGCUGGAAUUAUGCUAAUCUCAGCCCCAGUGGGCCUUGUGCUGCUAAAAGGAGCACUGUGAGGAUAGCUGGCAGGAACCGAGGUAUGGCAUUAGCAGUCAUGACAGCUGCUUGGUUUCCAGAGUCACAAUGUUGAACCACAGCAGCAAAGACAAAUGUUGUCACUGGCAAUAUGCACAGGUGAAAGGAAAACAUAAUACAUGAAAGAAAUAAUGCCUAUCCACCUGGAAUGAUGUUAGAUCUUUGAAUACAUGGGGAUUUCAUGUACAUAACUGAAGUAUCCAAUUUUAUUGUGAAUUUGGUGUGCAUAACUAACUUUAGUCCUAUUAGUAGCAGUGAUCCAAAUGGGUAUAUUAUGAUUUUACAGUGUAACCAAGGCAUCUGGGACUUGAUAUGAAGCAACACCCCAGACACAGGAUAGAAAACAAGGAUUUUCUCCAAAUCUAUGCUGAUAAAGCCCAUUGUAGACUUGCCAAUGAUGCCACAGUCUGAGAAUCCUGCAUAGCCAGCUUCUAGAAGAUGCACAAUUGUUUCUGGUUUGGAACAAAGGCUUAGAAGUAGGUUUCUUGAUGUUCUUGUUAGCACAAGGUCAUGGAGGUGACCUUUCACACCUUAUAUUUAGCAGCCAGUUCUCAGUACUACCAUUGAGUUCUUUUGACACAGCCUCAGAAUGACUGAGACAUGGCUAGUAUGACCUUAGCAGCAGCAAUAUUCAAAAACUCAUGCGUGUUCUAGAUGUUUUGGAGAGUGGCUAGUUUGGGUCUUUAAUAAGAACUGAUCAACUCCAUGGCUGUCUGGUGAUGAGCUAAGUACUUCUUCCCCAUCUAGAAAUCUUUUCUGUCUCUUAUUUGCACUUAAGUCCUUUUUCAUGCUCCUCUGUACCAAUCUGUUUUAUCAGUCACUUAUACAGAAAAAUGGGUUAUCUAUGAUACAGACAAGUUUUAUCAGAAUGAACAAUAGAAAGCUUUGUUGAGCAUACAGCAAGUGGCUGUGGAACAGACAGCAGUCUCACAGCUGGCCAAUGCACCAUACAGGGAGUUGUGAAUGCAAUAUACUAGAGGAGCUGGAGCCUGGAAAUACAGUAGCCCAGCAGGCAGUGACCUCCCAGAUAUUGCUCUCAAGAGCAGUUCCAGAGAGCUGUGUACACAGGACCUCAGUGAGCUACUAGAACAUUGAGGAUAAUUCCACACUCAGUGGUACUCCAGAGAGUUACUGAGAGAUAUAUUGUGUGCAUUACCCCCAGUUACAAAGCUUUAUUACAUGCUACAUUCACUUAUGAAAUGAGGAAGGCCUUGGGCUGGAUUUAGAGAUUUGCAGGGACACCAAACCCAAACCGUUCUCUGUGACAGGUAAGCAUGGUGAACAUUUAGCCAGGCUUUGGAUCACUAUCUUAUCCUAGAAAAGUGUAACAAGUUGAUAUUAGUACUAAUAAAAUUUCACAAUAUGUAUAUAGAUGAAGUUUA